GGCCUGGUAUUGUAGUGGUAACACGCCUUGUCGAAGUGAACUGAGAUGCAUCUCAUUUUUCAAAAGAAACUCCCUGUUCGAUUCAAGGCUAGGCCA